rnacentral:antisense_RNA from 1 species
AGAGGGGCUUCCGGAAUUCGGUUUUCGGGGGCCUUUUUCUUUUGC